UACACUCCUACGGGAGGCAGCAGUGGGGAAUUUUGGACAAUGGGCGAAAGCCUGAUCCAGCCAUGCCGCGUGCAGGAUGAAGGCCUUCGGGUUGUAAACUGCUUUUGUACGGAACGAAACGGCCUUUUCUAAUAAAGAGGGCUAAUGACGGUACCGUAAGAAUAAGCACCGGCUAACUACGUGCCAGCAGCCGCGGUAAUACGUAGGGUGCAAGCGUUAAUCGGAAUUACUGGGCGUAAAGCGUGCGCAGGCGGUUAUGUAAGACAGUUGUGAAAUCCCCGGGCUCAACCUGGGAACUGCAUCUGUGACUGCAUAGCUAGAGUACGGUAGAGGGGGAUGGAAUUCCGCGUGUAGCAGUGAAAUGCGUAGAUAUGCGGAGGAACACCGAUGGCGAAGGCAAUCCCCUGGACCUGUACUGACGCUCAUGCACGAAAGCGUGGGGAGCAAACAGGAUUAGAUACCCGUGUAGUCCCAU
rnacentral:rRNA from 1 species